GUAAGUUAUCUAGAGGAAAACUGGAACGACACAGAGAUUAGGAUGGCCCCUGCUCAAGGAUGACAAAUUUGUGAAGCGGUCCAUAUUAUU
ensembl:snRNA U6 U6 spliceosomal RNA